rnacentral:lncRNA from 1 species
GGGCAGUGUGAGCCUUUGAAGGGACAGGCUUACUACAAGAGGCAUGCAUCCCCUCUGCUCACAUUCGUUUGACUCCACUGACUGAAAGGGAUGAGGAUCUAAGAUGUAGCUUUGUGCCCAACAUAACAGGAGACACACAGAAGCCGGGGCAAGAUGGAGGAGUUGAUGAACAAAAGCAGCCGUUCCCAAGAAAGAACAAUGGCAUUCUCUGUGACCUGAGCACAGCUGGUAACACUGGAUCCUCAAACAUUAACUCCUUCCUGAAGACCCACAUUAACAUUUCCUCUAGCCACAUCUAUAAUCUACAGCAUCUCAGAUAAAUUGAACACCUUGCUUCUUCUUUUUGGUUUAAAAAAAUUUCUUCUAAUUGAAAAAAAUUAUGUUCUUUUAACAUUGAAGAACAGCUCCAGUA